rnacentral:lncRNA from 1 species
UCACAACCAUUCACCUCCCUUGAUCCAACGACCAAGAUUAUUUCCCCCCACACCCUAAAUAUAACCCUAACCUUUCACAAACCCUAACCUAAGUAACUACACCAGCCGACCCCUUCUUCUCUCCCACACCUUCUGCCUCCAUAACCCCGCUUAAACCUUACCCGAGUUCACUCGCUGGUCACUCAUGGUCUCUAUCUCCUCCUUCUCCUUCUUCCACGUAGCAAAAUCUCAACGAAUCUCAUCAUUUUAAUCCGGUUCACGCGAAUUUCUUCUUUUAUUUAAUUUGUUUAAACACAAAUCCAAGGCUCUUGAGUAAAUUUAGGAAAAAUGGGGACGUUGGAUGAAAGUCUCCAUUUUUCCCGAUUUUUAUUUGUAAAAAAAAAAGAGAUUUUCGGAUUUGGUUUUGGGGUCCACACAGUUUUUGGAUUUCUUGCAGAAAAGGAGAAGAAGCUUCUAGGGCUUUAUAUAUAUUAGGGGGUUAUUUGUACAGAAAGUGGUUUUUUUGGGAGAAAAAUUAGAGAAAGAGUUCUAGGGUUUUGAAGAGAAAUUUCGAAGGUUUUUUUUUUCUUUUUGCUUCUGUCUCUUCUACUUUCAUUUCAAAAAGCCAAAACAAAACUAAAAAAUAUAUACAUAAUAUUUCACUUAUUUCUUUUGGCUUCGAUUUUUAAUUUCAACUAUGGAGUUCGGUCGAGGUUUGCCGUGGAGUUUGAAGCUAUAGUUCGAGGUCAGCUCGUGGUUCUUGAUUUGCCUGUCACGGUUUCAUUAACUUCGUGUCGACUCUCAGAUCUCAAUAGCUGAUUUCCUUUUCAAGGUCGUUUCCAUGUUUUAUACUGCUUGUAUCACAUUCGAACAUCAAGUGAUAAUCGAAAUUACAAUCUCAGGUUCAUUUUCGGUUUCCUUUCUUAUUUUUGCUUUGAUGUGAUAUUAGUAGUGGAUAUAAAUACAUGUUUCGACACGUUAUGAUUCAGUUGCGUGCCUCUUUUUUCUGCUUGAACUGAGAUUUAUGUGAUGUUGAUGCGAUCACUUGCGCUUUGAUGGAUCUUAUAGUUGUUAAGAGAAUUGUGGAUCAGUGACAUACUUACCGUGGAUCUUAAUAGCAGUUUGUCAGUUUGAAGCGAAAUCGAAGUUGUAACAAAAGGAAUAUCCCGAUUUCUCUGUUCGUCCCUAGCUUAGCUGCUCGAAUCUCUCUUAACAUUUUAGCUCGAUUUGAAUCUAUACCUAUCAAGUCAGGUGCAAGUGAGGAAAGCAUGUGCUGAUUUCAAUGUCUUUGGCCAUUUCAUUUUUCCCUUGUAAGCAUGAAUAAGUGAUCAACCCUCGUGUUUUAAUGUCGAUCUUCCUGGAAAUACUAAGUCAGUUUCUCCUGUUUUGGUGAUUCUUCAUGUUUGAUUAUGCUUGAGUGAUUUGUUUUGCCCAGGCCUAAGCUUAUCUACUCUUUGGAACUUUCAUAAGUUUUGAAAACCAUGGAUUCUCAUGUUAGGCAUUUAAGAUUUUAGACUUGAAGCAUCUCUGGAAAUAUGAAUUUGGCUUUCAUGUUUUGGUAAUGCCACUCCCACGCCUUGUUCGUUCCCCUACCAUUUAUUUAACGUCUCUUGAACUUUUGUUGAAAACCAUUAUUGGAAGAUGGAAGUGUAGAGAACAGUGACAUUUAACUUGCCCAAUAUUUGUUCUAGUUAAUUUCUGAAUGUGUAUUACGUGAAUAACAUUUGAAAUCAGUUUGUUUAGUCUCAUGAAGGUUCUGGACGGGUUAGCAUUCUUGAAAUGACUACAAUUUGCAUUUCUUUAUCUCAUGGUGACUAUUAUUUUAGUUUUGUUUAGUUCACAUUUUCUAUGAAUGGUCAAUACUCUGUUAGAUGAUUUGUCUUGUUAAUUAGUGUUGUUUGACUGUGAAUUUGAUUGAAUUAUGGAUGUUUGGGUCGCGGGGGUAGGGAAUAUGAGCAUGCUUUAGAGUUUUCUGUUCUUUUAUUUUCUUAUUUCAUUACGUGUCCGUUAAGAGCAUGUUUUAAGUCGACAACAUUUGGGCAGGCAACCAUAGAAUUUUUUAUUAUUUUUUGUUUGCUUUUAAUUUCGAGGCAAGAGGUAGUUUCCUUAGUUGAAUUUAUCCGGGGAAUGGCCCGAGGGAUUUGUAUAUAUAUUAUUAUCCAGGGUAUGCCCCGAAGAACUAUGUAAAUAUCUGGAGGCCUCGACGAGCAUGGUAAAGAAGUCGUAGUAUAGGUUAGCUUAUGAUUUUUUCCCUUCUUUUCCUUUUCAUUUUCUUUCUCAGGUAGGGACGAACUCUAGCCUCUUGUGUGUUUAUUUUGUUUUGUGAUUUUACCUCAAUUGAAUAUUCUAAAAGCCAACUAAAUCGAGUAUGUAACCGUGACUUUCACGGGACUCGGGGAAUGCCUAAUUCCUUCUCCCCGAGUCAAAUGAACCCCUUACCCGAACCUAUGGUGCUGGCUUGGUUUCAGAGUCUGAAACAUUUAAAAGGAAAAAUCAUUUUAAAAACGAUGAUCUGACACACCGAAAUCAAUUGUCAGGUGGCGACUCUGAGUUAGUCCUUUUGAAACACAAUUUUGUCACUUCUUAUUAAAAACCUUUUUUCAAGCUUUACGAAAUCUUUUUAUUAUUUAACAGGAUUAAGUGAGGUUUGUUAAAAAAAAGGGGCGUGACAAUUAGUAUGACCAAGAACCCGGUCGAUCACUAGAAAACUAAGGACAUAGAUGUUAGACAUCAUUUAUUGAAGGAUAACUAUGAAAAUGGUUGAUAAACGUGAUAUUUUGUGCCAUUGACAUGUAAAUAACUGACAUUUCACAAUAGCCUUAUGCAUAGAUCAUUUUAAAAGGAACGGAUUAGAAAUCAAGGAUGAUUAAGAUCAUCUAAAAGGACUAGUUCAGAAUUCACAACCAAAACAAAAUUUGGUUAGAAAAUCUAAAAAUGUGUAUAUAAUUAGAUUAAUUUUUGCUCAGACUCGUGCUUUUAAUAGUAUACUCUUUUUCCAUGUGUUAAAAUGACUCAUUAAUUUCUAAUGAUAGUUUUCUAUUUUGACAGAUUUAGACUUACAAAAGAGAAUUAUUGGUGAAGAACCUGGUUCAACAAGAUAAUAUGCUAUGUUUUCUACACUCUGCAUAAUUUGGAAUAAUAAUAUUUGGAUCAUGAGUAGAGUCCUACCUAAGUCCAAAUUUCUUUUGAACUUAUCCAAUAUAAGUGAACUAGUUCCAUUCAAAAGAAUCCUAACCAAAUUAUACACUCUAGAUACUAGGGAAAACUCCAUCGUCUUUUUAAAAUUGACAAUUCAGUUUGAUUAGACUUCUAAAAUCUCAAAAUCCGGUCGUUACCCAUUAAUUACUCCCCUUUAAAUUGAUCAUCACAAGCUCUGUCUUUACUUCAUAAUUUUCAAGCCGUCAAAAUACUCUCCAUCGAUCAACCAUUUACACUUAUCGUUAAAUUAAAUGGCCUAGAGAGAGAAGCUCCUCCUUCUAUAUACCUUUCUUCCCCAACCCUACUGUUCAUCGCCUUUCCUCCAUUGCAACUGCUAAGGUGAGU